rnacentral:rRNA from 1 species
AUGAACGCUGGCGGCGUGCCUAAUACAUGCAAGUCGAGCGAACAGACGAGGAGCUUGCUCCUCUGACGUUAGCGGCGGACGGGUGAGUAACACGUGGAUAACCUACCUAUAAGACUGGGAUAACUUCGGGAAACCGGAGCUAAUACCGGAUAAUAUAUUGAACCGCAUGGUUCAAUAGUGAAAGACGGUUUUGCUGUCACUUAUAGAUGGAUCCGCGCCGCAUUAGCUAGUUGGUAAGGUAACGGCUUACCAAGGCAACGAUGCGUAGCCGACCUGAGAGGGUGAUCGGCCACACUGGAACUGAGACACGGUCCAGACUCCUACGGGAGGCAGCAGUAGGGAAUCAUCCGCAAUGGGCGAAAGCCUGACGGAGCAACGCCGCGUGAGUGAUGAAGGUCUUCGGAUCGUAAAACUCUGUUAUUAGGGAAGAACAAAUGUGUAAGUAACUAUGCACGUCUUGACGGUACCUAAUCAGAAAGCCACGGCUAACUACGUG